CCUACGGGUGGCAGCAGUGAGGAAUAUUGGUCAAUGGGCGGAAGCCUGAACCAGCCAAGUCGCGUGAGGGAAUAAGGCCCUACGGGUCGUAAACCUCUUUUGCCGGGGAGCAAGGGCGGGGACGUGUCCCGGCCCGGAGAGUACCCGGAGAAAAAGCAUCGGCUAACUCCGUGCCAGCAGCCGCGGUAAUACGGAGGAUGCGAGCGUUAUCCGGAUUUAUUGGGUUUAAAGGGUGCGUAGGCGGGCUUUUAAGUCAGCGGUAAAAAUUCGGGGCUCAACCCCGUCCGGCCGUUGAAACUGGGGGCCUUGAGUGGGCGAGAAGAAGGCGGAAUGCGUGGUGUAGCGGUGAAAUGCAUAGAUAUCACACAGAACACCGAUUGCGAAGGCAUCUCACGAAUCCGCGAUUGACGCUGAUGCACGAAAGCGUGGGUAUCGAACAGGAUUAGAUACCCCUGUAGUC
rnacentral:rRNA from 1 species